rnacentral:rRNA from 1 species
AGUGAACGCUGGCGGUAGGCCUAACACAUGCAAGUCGAACGGCAGCACAGUAAGAGCUUGCUCUUACGGGUGGCGAGUGGCGGACGGGUGAGGAAUACAUCGGAAUCUACUUUUUCGUGGGGGAUAACGUCGGGAAACUUACGCUAAUACCGCAUCCGACCUACGGGUGAAAGCAGGGGAUCUUCGGACCUUGCGCGAUUGAAUGAGCCGAUGUCGGAUUAGCUAGUUGGCGGGGUAAAGGCCCACCAAGGCGACGAUCCGUAGCUGGUCUGAGAGGAUGAUCAGCCACACUGGAACUGAGACACGGUCCAGACUCCUACGGGAGGCAGCAGUGGGGAAUAUUGGACAAUGGGCGCAAGCCUGAUCCAGCCAUACCGCGUGGGUGAAGAAGGCCUUCGGGUUGUAAAGCCCUUUUGUUGGGAAAGAAAAGCAGCAGGUUAAUACCCCGCUGUUCUGACGGUACCCAAAGAAUAAGCACCGGCUAACUUCGU